GGGACGUUAGCUCAGCGGGAGAGCACUACCUUGACAUGGUAGGGGUCACUGGUUCGAUCCCAGUACGUCCCACCA
rnacentral:tRNA from 1 species